rnacentral:rRNA from 1 species
UACGGAGGGUGCGAGCGUUGUUCGGAAUCACUGGGCGUAAAGGGCGUGUAGGCGGUCCGCUAAGUCUGAUGUGAAAGCCCGGGGCUCACCCCCGGAAGUGCAUUGGAAACUGGCGGACUCGAGUCCCGGGGAGGAGAGUGGAAUUCCUGGUGUAGCGGUGAAAUGCGUAGAUAUCAGGAGGAACACCGGUGGCGAAGGCGGCUCUCUGGACGGUGACUGACGCUGAGACGCGAAAGCGUGGGGAGCAAACAGG